rnacentral:rRNA from 1 species
GCAAGUCGAGCGGUAAGGCCCCUCCGGGGGCACACGAGCGGCGAACGGGUGAGUAAAAGAGAGCAACCUGCCCCUGACUCCGGGAUAAGCGGUGGAAACGCCGUCUAAUACCGGAUACGACCCUCCGGCUCAUGCCGUGGGGGUGGAAAGUUUUUUCGGUUGGGGAUGGGCUCGCGGCCUAUCAGCUUGUUGGUGGGGUAAAGGCCUACCAAGGCGAUUACGGGUAGCCGGCCUGAGAGGGCGACCGGCCACACUGGGACUGAGACACGGCCCAGACUCCUGCGGGAGGCAGCAGUGGGGAAUCUUGCGCAAUGGGCGAAAGCCUGACGCAGCGACGCCGCGUGGGGGAUGACGGCCUUCGGGUUGUAAACUCCUUUUACCACUCACGCAGGCCCGGAGUUUUCUUCGGGUUGACGGUAGGUGGGGAAUAAGGACCGGCUAACUACGUGCCAGCAGCCGCGGUAAUACGUAGGGUCCGAGCGUUGUCCGGAAUUAUUGGGCGUAAAGAGCUCGUAGGCGGCGUGUCGCGUCUGCUGUGAAAGACCGGGGCUUAACUCCGGUUUUGCAGUGGAUACGGGCAUGCUAGAGGUAGGUAGGGGAGACUGGAAUUCCUGGUGUAGCGGUGGAAUGCGCAGAUAUCAGGAGGAACACCGGUGGCGAAGGCGGGUCUCUGGGCCUUACCUGACGCUGAGGAGCGAAAGCAUGGGGAGCGAACAGGAUUAGAUACCCUGGUAGUCCAUGCCGUAAACGAUGGGCGCUAGGUGUG